GGAGAGGUGGCCGAGAGGCUUAAGGCGACGGUUUGCUAAACCGUUGGGGCCAAAAGCCCCGCGCGGGUUCGAAUCCCGCCCUCUCCG
rnacentral:tRNA from 1 species